ACUAUAUUGGCAGAUUAGUGCGAUAAAUUUAGGAUUUAUUAAUACAUAGAUUUAUGUAUGUAGUA
rnacentral:tRNA from 1 species